rnacentral:rRNA from 1 species
GCACAUUCCUAUAGCAUAGUUUUAAUGCACUAGAUCCCAUUAGAACUCCAAAGUUAAGUGCUCUUGGGAUAGAGUAGUAUUGGGAUGGGUGACCACCCAAGAAUUCCUACUGAAUUUUGCA